rnacentral:lncRNA from 1 species
UAAUAUGAUGUAAUCUGCAUAAUUAGUAAUUGAGGAUCAAAUAAUAGAGGUUUGUGGACAAUUGUAAUCAAUUUAAUUAAUUCUAAAUUAUUUAAUUGUAACAAGCCACUAGAAAAAAAUUAUUAUUAUGAACAAAUAAAAUUAAAAUUCAAGCACAUAAUAAAAAAAAAUAGAAUGGCAAAAAAAUACUAACAUGAUGUGGAGAUUCGAGAUGCCAAAUAAUUGAUGAACA